rnacentral:tRNA from 1 species
GUUGUUUUGGCAGAAUAGUGCAUCGAAAUUAGAAUUCGAGUAUGUAAUUGAUUACAAAUGACA